UUCAGCAGCCAUAUCACCCUGCAACUCACAACUGGUAACCCACUGAAGCUAAGCAGGUGUGAGCCUGGUCAGUACCUGGAUGGGAGACUUCCUGGGAAAAACUAAGGUUGCUGCUGGAA
ensembl:rRNA 5S_rRNA 5S ribosomal RNA